rnacentral:rRNA from 1 species
UACGUAGGGCGCAAGCGUUGUCCGGAAUUAUUGGGCGUAAAGAGCUCGUAGGCGGUUUGUCGCGUCUGCUGUGAAAACUGGAGGCUCAACCUCCAGCCUGCAGUGGGUACGGGCAGACUAGAGUGCGGUAGGGGAGAUUGGAAUUCCUGGUGUAGCGGUGGAAUGCGCAGAUAUCAGGAGGAACACCGAUGGCGAAGGCAGAUCUCUGGGCCGUAACUG